GACGAACGCUGGCGGCGUGCCUAACACAUGCAAGUCGAGCGAAGAAAUCCCUUCGGGGAUGGAUUAGCGGCGGACGGGUGAGUAACACGUGGGUAACAUGCCUCAAAGUGUGGGAUAGCCUUCCGAAAGGAAGAUUAAUACCGCAUAAUAUUAGAUUUUCGCAUGAAGAGCUAAUUAAAGAAGCAAUUCGCUUUGAGAUGGACCCGCGGCGAAUUAGCGAGUUGGUGAGGUAAUGGCUCACCAAGGCGACGAUGCGUAGCCGACCUGAGAGGGUGAUCGGCCACAUUGGAACUGAGACACGGUCCAGACUCCUACGGGAGGCAGCAGUGGGGAAUAUUGCACAAUGGGGGAAACCCUGAUGCAGCAACGCCGCGUGAGUGAUGAAGGUCUUCGGAUUGUAAAGCUCUGUCUUUUGGGACGAUAAUGACGGUACCAAAGGAGGAAGCCACGGCUAACUACGUGCCAGCCGCCGCAGUAACAC
rnacentral:rRNA from 1 species